AGAGAUAGCGAGGGCUUGGGUGGAGAAGGGGAAGGCUAGACCAGCGGCGGCUUAGGCCGCAGCGGGGGGUGGGGGGUGGGGGCGCGAGCCAAGGGCAGGUCUUGGACGGUGGAUGCUGCCUCGCUCCGGCGGCUUCGGCCGCUGUUUUCCUAAGCUUCGUCGGCCGGCCUCGAUGAAACUGAAGCUGCAACUCCUCCCGCAGCCGGAGUCGAGGACCGGAGGGUCCCGGGCGGCGGCGACCCGAGCAUGUACCAGUCCACGCCCGCUGAGCCUCUCCUCGAAACCGGCAUUCCUGAUAUGUCGAAUCAAAGAGGACCCUAGUGCAAGAGGCCUGCAGGUAACUCAAAGGCUCGUUUCAGGCCCGGAGGUCCAAAUAGAUGUGUAGGUGUUACGUCCGGCUCCGACGAUCGAACAUGUACCUAAGGAUCUACGGCAUGAUUACUUCUUCUAUCGUUCGGCAGCUAACGACGUUGUCCCGCCGUCCCUUCUAGGCUCAGUCGGCUGCCAACAGUUCCGUUGUCAUUGGAAGAUUUCCUGGAAGGAUAUCAGAGGACGGUUACGGCCUAAUCUAGCUCCAGCGCCACCUAACCCACUUAGCGCGCAUGGAUCCAUAUCGGAGUACUGCGCUCCUCUUGAGCAGUGUGAGCCGUCGGGGUUCGUCGCCAGGUUUUGUAUAAUUUCAAGGUACCUAGUUCUUCCAUAUCGUUAUCAUGACAGUGUGGACAUGUUGAUGAACCACCUUGUUAAAAGUAACGUCAAAACGGUCUUGACUACGAUUCAGUACCGUCCAACAAAGACCGCCAUCACAAAAGUAGACUAUAGUAACUAUAAAAUAAAUGACUUAUUGGAAAGUUCUUAGUGUAUUCGUAUACCAGAAUAGUACAGUAUCACGUCGACUUGGACUCGCAUUAACGUCCGAUAUCGAGAAAUAAUAGAUAUAUAUAACUUACUGACUUACCACUGUGAUAUGAGCAGUCAACAAGUGGUGCAACAAACAAAGUUAUAAGAUAUAAUUACCCUAAUUCAACGGAUCUAAGGCUUCAAUGAAAUUAUCAAACCCACCGCAUUAUGAAGGACAUACCUCGUAUCAUGUUCUCGUUAUUGAUUAAUUUAAACACAAAACAAUCUAGAAGCGAAAGAGAACGACGUGCAUCGACAGAGUCAAGUAUUUAUGGAUCGAUGUAAAAUGGAGUAUAUCCUACGUUAAAACCAAUCAUUUUCCUCCGGAAUAUCAGUUUCCGUUAUAAAAGAUUCAAGAUCGGUUGAAACGAUGAGUACUCUUAGUAGCUGUUCAAUGUUAAAAGGAAUCCUUGAUAAGUUAUGAAAAAAAUUAAACGAGUUCAUUGAAAGAUCUUAGUGGUCUCAGUAGAACAGAAUACUUUACGAAGUUUGAAGCGUACAUAAGAACUCUUAAUAUAAUUCCUGGACUGUGAACCUUACACUAGAUAGAGACUUAGAGGUUCACCGUAUCCUCGCUAAAAUGUCUGACUUCUAUUGUUUCACACAUCCAGGUAAGAAUGUUCAACUACAAGCAAGAGAACCUGUGAUUAGGACAUUAAAACAUAAACCGUUUAUGUUACAAACGAACUAACUGUUCAUACGUUGUCGUGUCGAGAAGCUUAAAUUAUUCUGUUCGAUAUUAACGAGUUCAAUUUAGGAAGAGCAUCUUUUAAUUUAAAGGUUGUACUUUAUCGACGUUAACCACGUCCGUUUGUAAAAUACAAUGCUAAAGACUAAAGAAAACGAAGGUUAUAAACAUUAACUCACCAUAAUUGUCCA
rnacentral:rRNA from 1 species